GUAACAUAUAUGUAAUUUCCUGCACCUAAAUGUAUAUCAAAAUUACUACACAUGUAUAUGUAAAUGUGUAUAUGUGCACGAAUACAGUCAAUGUGUGUGUGUAUAUAUGUUAUUUCCAAAAUGUUUGCAGGUGCAGUGCUAACUUGUGAAUGUAGAGGCAAGGCAUCAGAAGGACAGUCCAGCCAUUUUUGUGUUUUAUAAAACCUACCUUUAACACAUACACAGUUCAAUAGAACAUCAAGAUUUUUUUGGCCUGUGAAUUAAAUAUUUUUUAUAUCUGUAAACAUUUAUUUUAUAUUUUGUAUCUAGUCAAUAUAUUUAGAAGUCAAAUGUAUUUUUAAAACGAGUUUGAAAAAGGGGGGGAAAAAAACACUAAUCUGGUUUUGGUAUGCGCGAUCAUGGUUGUAGGAAGGGGAAAACUGUAGCUAUGUAACCCCUGUGCCUAAGAACGUUAGAAAGACCUCAAUAAAUUAAAUGUAAUUGAUCCCAGGUCUGUUGGGGUUGGUUUGAUGAAUGUUUAAAGGGACACUAUAGACACCCAGAGCACGUAAUCUCAUUGAAGUAGUCUGGUUGCAGUGUCCUUGUCAUUUUAGACCUGCAGCUACAAACGUAGUUUUAGAGAAACUGCAAUGUUUACAUUGCAGGUUAAGCCUGCUUCUAGUGGCAGUCUACCACACAGCCACUAGAGGCGCUUCCUGACCUUUUCGUUGAAAUGACACUAGCAUCUAAAUCCACAUAGGAAAGCAUUGAUUAAAAUUAGGUUUUUUUUAUGGGGAUGUCGUAAUGUGCAUUAGGCUCCCCUCAUUGGCUGAAGUCGAAGGAGGAGGAGCCCAAACUAGUGCCAGGGAUCUUGGCUGUGGAAUUAGGAAAGUGUAAUACAUUUUUAACCCUUUAUUUGCUGCCUGGGAGGAAAGGGGCAGAGGAACACUAUAUUGUAGUAGGAAUACAGUUUUGUAUUUCUAGCAUUAUAGUGUUCCUUUUAAUCCUUUCAGCUCCAACAACCAUUCAGGUCUAUUUUCAUAAGAGCGGGUUUUUUUGUGGUUUUUUUUGGUUUAUUAUUAAU